UAAACGGUCCUUUUCAGGACCACCGAAAAUCUUUCCUAAAGAGUUAU
rfam:Aedes albopictus isolate Foshan contig152741, whole genome shotgun sequence.